CAGUUGCCCUCUUUCCAGAUGGAUGUGCUGUGAUUGGCUGAAUAGCUUGCCACGAUCAGAAGUGUGGGCCAGAGGGAAACAGACAACCACAGAGAUGAAAAUCGGUUUCCUCAUUACGAGUACAGAUCUGUCUGUAGGACUUGUCAAUCAUCAAACGGUGGUGCAGCCUGGUGGCAUGACUCACAAGGCUGAGCUGAUGUUGGGAGAGGGGACUUGUGUUUCCUGGGAACUUCACAGUUUUACAUGGGAGCUACAGUAUUUCUUGGAAGAGGUCUUAAUUCACAUGACGUCAGACUACGAAAUGGCAUUGAAGGAUUCAUUCCCCAAACAUUAACUCAAGAACUACACUUGAAUGUCUGCUGUGAGCCAGCAGUCUUCCAGGAGAAUACAGCUUAUCCUCCCCAGCAAACUGACCCUGAGGACAGUAAAUUACUGUGCAGGAAGCAAAAGAUGUGCUACACAGUCACAGGAGAGCUGUUUUAUGUUGAAGAGUUGGAACAAAACUCACAGAAGCAACAUUGAAUGAGUUAGUUCUGAGUGGCUAGGAGUGAACUAUGCAUGGGUCAGUGGACAAGUAAAAGGGAUGAACAAAAUGAUGUGAUGAUGAAGACAACGACUAUGAUGAUGGUGAUGAUGAUGACAGUGACUCGGAAGAUAAUGACGAUGAAGAUGAAGACAAUGAUGGUGAGGAAAAUGACUAUGAUGAUGAUGAUUAUGAGGACAGUGACUGAUG